GAUGAAGAACGUAGCGAAAUGCGAUAAGUAGUGUGAAUUGCAGAAUUCAGUGAAUCAUCGAAUCUUUGAACGCACAUUGCGCCCCUUGGUAUUCCAUGGGGCAUGCCUGUUCGAGCGUCAUUUGUACCUUCAAGCUCUGCUUGGUGUUGGUUGUUUGUCUCGCCUCUGCGUGUAGACUCGCCUCAAAACAAUUGGCAGCCGGCGUAUUGAUUUCGGAGCGCAGUACAUCUCGCGCUUUGCACUCAUAACGACGACGUCCAAAAGUACAUUUUUACACUCUUGACCUCGGAUCAGGUAGGGAUACCCGCUGAACUUAAGCAUAUCAAUAAGCGGAGGA
rnacentral:misc_RNA from 1 species